AGUUGCAGCGACACAACCGGAAGUGACGUCGACGUCAAAAUAAGCUCAUACAAGCAACAGUGUAGCGCAGGUCAGUUUAUCCUUGUUUUAAUCUUUAGGAAAUAAAAAUACAACGAUGUCUUCGGAUUUUGAGACGUACGAACAGGAUUUUGGGACCCUUACGGCGGAAAUAACCAACAAAAUCGGAAGAAUACCCAAAUUAGCCGCUGAGGAGAAGACACAGCUGGUUCUAAAUGUCGACAAACAGCUUGAAGAAGUCAGAGAGUUGCUGGAGCAGAUGGAUCUGGAGGUUCGAGAGAUCCCCAUUCAGAGCAGAGGCAUGUACAACAGCCGUCUGAAGAGCUACAAGCAAGAGAUGGAAAAACUUGAGAAAGAUUUUAAAAGGUCACGUAUUGCCUACAGUGAUGAGGUGCGGAACGAGCUCCUGAGGGAGGACGGAGGCUCAUCGGAGACUCAGUUGAUAAAGUUACGUGAGGAGAGAGCACAUCUGUUGGACAACACAGAGAGACUGGAAAGGUCAUCUCGGAGGCUGGACGCCGGCUACCAGAUAGCUGUGGAAACCGAGCAAGUUGGACAGGAGAUCCUCACCAACCUCGCCACUGACCGCGAAAAGAUCCAGAGGUCCCGAGAUCGGCUGAGAGAGACGGACGCUAACCUGGGCAAAAGCUCUCGGAUCCUGACCGGCAUGCUGAGAAGAUCUAAACUGCUCUUUUCAAGCAGUGUGAAGGAUCAACUUGAAUUACCAGCAACCAGAAAUGAAGUUAGAGGACCAGAAGAAAGACUGUAGAUGAUAGACAGAAUUCAUGAAUGUGAAGAACGCUGUUGGCAUCGCUUCCACAAUGCCCAGCUCAGUCACAUUCAGGAUCAUUCAAAAUCGGAUCCUGGUCUUCAUCCUGGGCGCCAUCAUCCUCCUCACCAUCGUCUUGGCCCUCUAUUUCAAUUUGCGAGGGCACUGAUCUUCACUGACUGGCCCCGUGUGAGCGUGUGCGAGCGUGUACGAGAGGGUGUGUAAGAUUAAUAGUGACAAAAGCGUUGGGCUGGAGUAAUUAGGACAAAUUGUUCACAUGAAUCAUUCCUGGUGGGUAGUGACAGGGGGCCUCUCCUCUCUGCUCUCUCUCCCUCCGAGCGGAGAGGACCACGGCCUCAUAUUUAUACCUAUUACUUUUAAAACCCUUUGUGGGAUCUCCACGUGACCCAGACCCGUAGAACAGCCCUGCGUAGAUGUGUGGACCACAGGAGCGUGAUGGAAGGAUGACAAUGUCAGAUGGAUGAAGAACAAGAUCAAGAACAUCAAUUCAUGUCAUAACCUGCUGUUUUAAUGUUUUGUUUUCAUUUGUUGGGGGCUGAACACCAAUGUAGACUAGUAAAAUCCCAUCCAUCAGAUGUGUGUGUGACGUACACAAGGCAAAGCCCCCGGCACAGUACCGCUAAGCACACGGAGCAGAAUCACACAGCCCAAAGGUCACACGCCCGUUUCUCAGUUCCCCUUCAUCCAGGAUUAGUAGCUUCUCACGCUGUUCCUCUAAGGUCAGCAAAGACCUCGCAUGUGUUUAGUUAAACCAGCACGACCGCAUUGAACAAGGUAUCACCCGUGUCCACUUUUACCUUUACUAAUCAGAUCUGACAGCAUGAUAGUGUACUAAUAAGAAAUGUUUUCUGUAUUUAUUUGUCUCGUUUCAAAUGCUUGAUUGUACAGUGUUCUUCUGUAUGCUUUCUUUCAAUUGAUUUUAAUUUUAGCCGUUGGUGUAUGACAUUAAAAAUAUAUCAUUUGUCUUUACUGUAACAAUGCAAAUGUGCUUC